AAUUGAUGAAUUGCAGGAAAUUAGUGGAAAGCCAGUACUGUCUUCGUAACAGUCUAGAGCCUUCAUUAUCAAUAUUAUCAUCUACAUAAUCAUUAGAGUUGAACAGGCCUGGAGUAAGGGAUGCAUUAAUUUAAAUUAUGUAAUUAAUUAGGUGAUUUAAACUGUGUAUGAAUGAGGAAAUGAUGACUCUCUUUUCUGGAUCUAGGAUUAAACAAAUAGUGAAAGCUGCUAGGGACACCAACACAGGUAUACCUUAUUUGGCUUUUUCUUGGGGCAUCAAGCAAGCCAAUGUGUCUUUUGAGGAGGGUUUGGAGGCACUCAACUCCAUUUUAGCACCUCAUCAUUCUAAAGCAAAAGCAAUAGAGGAAGAAAAGGCAAAAGCACAAUGACAGUUUGCCACUGCUUCUUCUUCUUCCUGUUCUUCUUUCUCCACCUCAGACAUAGUCCAAGCUCAGCCUGAUCGAUCAGAAUCAUCAAGUGAAAUGAUUAUAAUUCCCAUUUGUGUGGUGUAGUUUGCAGCCAUUCUAAGCUACCUAUCUGGGUCAACUCCACGUGUAUGGGAACCAUUCCAAAGUAGGAAAAUACAAUAUUGGUGAGAAAAAGGAAGAAUCUCAAAAAAAACCUUUAAUUUCACUUUAGUUUUUCUGGGGAAGAAGCUUACAUCAGAUUAUUCUCGGGCCAAUUUCUUUGUCAAUGUUAUCUUACAAAUCAAGCACAUGCCUAUGACUAUAACCUUACGUUAAAUUUUAAUUCCUGUUUUCCAUUGAUGCGUGAUAAAUAAUCUUCCUUCUCUUCCUGUGUUUUGGGCCUCAAAACAAUGAAGCAGGACAGAUGAUGAAGAAAAGAAAUGCCUUGAACCCAAACAUGCACACAUCAGCCUUUUUUUUCAAUUAACCAAAUAAAGUACAAAACUACAACACAAAACUGCGACAAACUCUCAUUGUCAGCUUAUCCA
rnacentral:lncRNA from 1 species